GCCUCAAGUGAUGUGCCUGCCUUUGCCUCCGCCUCCCAAAGUGCUGGAAUUACAGGCAUGAGCCACUGUGCUAGGCCUAGGUUUCACUACUUAACUGUAUGUAUUAAUCAUUGCUGAGCCACAUUGGGUAGUAAAGUUCCUUUCUUACACCAUGUUUUGUUUUCUGAAUUUAAAAUAGCUCUGCUUAAAUUUCAGUUACCAAUCAUCAUUUCAGCUUGAAAUUCUAGACAUCUAACAAUAUUCUCUGGAUAAAGACAGACCAACGAUUUUGUUUGAGCAGUUUCUUUUUUUUGGAAGCAUCCUUUCUGGAGAACUCUGUCUUCCAGCUUGAAUCUGGGCUUGUGCCCUUUGAUAUUACUGCCUGGUUUUCUAACUUCGCUAGGGGAUAUUAAGAUACAAAAUAGAUCUAUAGAUUCAGCACAAUCUCUGUAUGCAGGAACUGAUGAUCUGAUUCUAAAAUUUACAUAAAAAACACUAAGACUAGCCAAAACAAUUUUGAAAAAGUAGAACAAAGUUGAAGGACUCACUACCUGACUUUAAGAAUUACUACAAAGCUGAAGUACUCAAGACAAUGUGGUACUGAUAUUUUAAAAAUGCAUAUAGAUCAAUGGAACAGAACAGAGUCCAGCCAACAGAUUUUCAGCAACACUGCUAAUAUAACUGCAUGGAGAAAGAAUGUCUUUACAAUAAAUGGUGCUACGGAACAACUAAAAUGGGUGGGGGGGGAACAUGACCCUCCAACCUCUAUACCUUGAACCAUAAAAUUUAACUCAAAAAUGAAUCAUAGGCCCAAACGUAAAAACUAAAACUGGCUAAAAUUAUAAAAUUAAAAAAAUCAUAGGAAAAAAUUUUCUUGACUAUGGGGUACAUAAUGUUUUCAUAGGGCACCAAAUUAAUGACUUAGAAAAAUGUAUACAUCAGACUUCCUGAAAAUUAAAACCAUCUGAUCUUCCAAAGGUAUCACUAUUAAGAAACGGGAAAUAUUUGCAAAGGACUUGUACCCAGCAUAUAUAAAAAACUCACAUUUUACAAAAGAAAGCAUAUAAUAAAAGGAAACAUGGGAAAUGGGUCAACAUUAUUAGUUAUCAGGGAAGUGUUAAUUAAAACCACAAUAAAAUACUACUGCUCCAGUAGAAUGGCUAAAAAGACUGAAAAUACUAAACAUUGGCAAGGAUAAGGAGCAACUGGAACACUCCUAGUAGAAAUAUAAAGCUAAAUGAAAAAUUAUAUAGUCAACUAAAAAAAUAAUGUCAGUUUCUUAUGAACACAUACUUACCAUAUGAACCAACAAUUCUAUACCUAGAUAUUUACCUAAGAGAAUGAAACACAUCCACAAAAAACACUUGCACAUGAAUGAUCAGAGCGGCUUUUCACAGUAGCCUAAAAUUGGAAACAGCUCCAAUAUUCAUCAAUAGGUGAAUGAACAAACUUGUAUAUUCAUACAUAAUAAUGCUCAGCAAUAAAACAAUGAAAAACAAUCUUUUGGGGUCGAGUGCAAGGUGGUGUGAUUGUGUGUAUGAUUACACCAUGUGCUACUAUCCAGGGAAGAACUGGGCUAGGGGCAUAUCUUUGACAGCGGCUCGAACGCUGCAGGACGGCCAGGUCCCUGGGCAUCCAGCCCUGGCCUAUGCUCCCCUUUGUCCCUGAGCAUUUAAACGUUACUUUCUGAAUCUCAGACCCACAGCUCUUUGCAGGUUUCGUCGUGAGCCUGCUGCAAAUUUUGAACCUAAGUAAACCACAAUCCAGAGGGCCUAGUGGUAACGUGGACACUGUGUCUAUCUGAAGUGCUCAGCAAUAAAGCAAAGGCAGUGAGUUGAUUAAAAAAAAAAUGAUAAAGCAAAAUAUACAUGCAUGCAUCUUAAAACAUUAAACUGGGCAAAAGUCAUCAGACACAAAAGAGUAUAUACUGUAGCUCAUGAGCAAAGCAGUGGGAAGCAGGCACAGGACUGGGAUGCUGUGGCCCCCAAGAGGCCCUGAGUCGGGGCAGGAAACAAGAUUGGAGGCCGUAGGCUUAUUGUGGUGCUGGAAAGGGCCAGACUGGAGACAGUCAAGGUAGGGAAGACAUAUGAGCUACUCAACUGUGACAAGCACAAAGUCUACAUUGUUGAAGAAUGGACGGGACCCUGGGGAAGUGCGGCCAGACAUAGCCCACCAGAGUUUGCUGAUGCUGAUGGAUAGUCCCCUGAACCGAGCUGGCUUGCUGCAAGUUUAUAUCCACACACAGAAGAAUGUUCUGAUUGAAGUGAACCACCAGACCCGAAUUCCCAGAACCUUUGGCCACUUUUGUGGCCUCAUGGGUAACUAAGAAUCCAGUAUCAGAUCACUUUCCAGUUGGAUGUAUGAAAGUUGGCACUUCUUUUUCCAUCCCGGUUAUCAGUGAUCUGUGAGCUAGUGCCCGGCGUGAGCUAAUGCCCAGCAGUGAUCCUACUGUUUCUGCGGUGGGGGCCUUUGCCUAUGGUAAGGUCAGUGUGGAGUAUACAAAGAUGGUGUCCAUCAGCAACUAUGCUCUUUCUGCUGCCCUCAUCUGUGUAAAACUUACCACAGCCUUUGAGGAAGUAUGGGGGGUCAUUUGACAGUAGUAGAACCUGUUCUGAAACCAGAAACUGUUGAUGACCCGGGUCUGAGCUGACAGCUGGAAGAUGAUCUUUCUGCACUGAGACUGCAAAGUUUGGGGAGCCAAGGCUGUACGUUUGCUAUUUGUUUAUCCUAUGAAUACGGCUCUUGCAAAAAAAGAGUACAUACUGUAGAAUUCUACACAUAUGUAGUUCAAGAAGCAGAAAAAUUAAUUUAUAGUGAUAAAAAGCCUUUUGUUGAUUGCCUACAGCACGGGGCAAGAAUAGGAAAAUUGACUGCCAAGUAGGGUAAGCACAAGGGAACUUUCUGGGGUGAUGGACACACACUAUAUUUUUAUUGGUGUAGUCGUCAUAUGGUAUAUACAUUUACCAAAAUUAAGUAUAUAGUAUAUAAAAUACUAUAUACUUAAAUUGUGUUCAUUUUGUUGUAUGAAAAUCAGACCUCAAUAAAGUUGAGCUGAUAGCCCCCAAACAAAACCUACUGGUUAUGAAUUUGGCCGUAAGGGAACUGCCAAGAGUACUAACAAACAAUUGAUCUCUGACCAAAAUCAAGUAAAAUGACAAUGUAACCAUAAAAGUUAAUCUCAAAAGCUCCAUGUUUGGAAAUUUUAAAAAUCUUACUCAUAAAUGAUUCACAAGUUAAAGAGUAACAUGAUUUAUCUAAGCUUAAGAUAUUAUCUGAAUUAUCUACAAGAAAACUGUUAGUUUCAAAUGUAUACAUUACGGAAGAAAAACAUUUUAAAAAAUCAACAAGCUAAAGAGUCAAUUCAAGAACUUAGAAAAUGGAACAAUACAGUAAACCCAAAGCAAAUAAUAAAAAGAGAAGAUCAGAUACUGAAUAGAAGAAAAAAUGGCCGAAGAAAGAUUAGCUUUUUGACAAAAAUAUUAACAUAUAUUUUGUCAAAUUAAUCUAGGACAAAACACGACACCGAAAACAAACAAUACAAAUAAAAAGGGGUGUGAUUUACAGGUACUAUAAAUCAUAAGAGUAAUCGAAACAAUAUAGAAAAAAACUGAAAUCAUAAAAGGGAAUUUUCUAGAAAUAAUUAUCAAAACCUACUUAAGAAAACAGAAUAUACCUACAACUAUUAAUUGAUAGAGUUAAUUGUUACAUGUAUAUAAGUUUCAAGCCCAGAAAUUUUCCCACAUAAACAUUUUUCUCAAGAAUAAAAAAUUUUCUUUUUUUUUUGAGAUGGAGUCUCAUUCUGUCACCAGGCUGGAGUGCAGUGAUGCAACUUCCACCUCCCAGGUUCAAGUGACUCUCCUACCUCACCCUCCCAAGUAGCUGAGAUUACUGGUUUUGUAAUCUCACUACGCCCAUCUAGGUUUUGUAUUUUUAGUAGAGAUAGGAUUUCACCACGUUGGCCAGGCAGGUCUGAAACUUCCGACUACAGGUGACCCACCUGCCUCAGCCUCCCAAAGUGCUGGGAUUACAGGCUUGAGCCACCAUGCCUGGCCCAGAAUGAAAACUUGCUUAAAUUACAUAGCACAAUCUUCAAUGAAAACCCAAAAAGGAACAACUAUAAAAGAAAAUUUUAAGGCCUGGCACAGUGGUUCACGAGGUCAAGAGAUCAAGGCCAUCCUGGCCAACAUGGUGAAA